UCCCCCUGACAAAAGAAAGACAUGCUCCUUGUCAGUAAAAGAGGAGCUGGAGGUAGAAAUGAGUUUGGUUCUUCAGCCAGAACCUCCAUUGUUUGGGACAUAUUUUAUUAUUUGAAUUCAAAGUCUGGAAUAAGCUCAGACUUUUUGUAUUACUCAUAUGAGUUAUUAUUAGUACUCUUAUUGCUUGUGUGAGUUUUUAUGUGAAAUGCAUGUUCCUAAUCUUUAGUUUUCUCUGACAGUCAUUCCCUCAGAGAUGGAUAGCAACCAAGACCUUCCCUCUGGUCCAUACUGCUUACUGUUCAUCGUCAGGUUUCCAGACUAUGACUAGUCCUGCUGGAGUUAUACUUGGCCUGGACUGCAGCUUGGCUUCCAAGCCUCACUCCUUGUAGAUGGAAAGGAACCUUAAGCACAGGAUGGUUGCUGGCUGGUCCCAGUGCAGAAGUUGUAGCUGACCUGUAGUAGGUGACAGCUGAAGAAAUGGAUUGAUGGCAACUUCAGAAAGCUGGACAAAGGGAAAUGCAAAUCCCUGUGCCAUGGGUGGGACAGGAUGGAUGCAGAGAAAGAUGCUUGGGCAAGGAGUACCAGCAGGUGGGCUCUCCUGGGAGGCUCAAGCUGACAGGGUAUGGGCACACAGCUUGGAAAGGGGAUGCUGCUUUGAGGCAAAAAAAUGCACAUUUGGUCCUUUGGAUGGUGGACUGAACCAGGAACAGGUUGCCCAGAGAGGCCAUGGAAUCUCCAUCCCAGAUUGUUCUGCUCCUGCUAGCCCUGGCUGUGUGUGGGGUGGGCUGGAGCCUGACUGAGGUCCAGGCUGACCCACUCCACUGCUGCCUGAAGUACAGACAGAGCUCACCAUGGCACCACUACUUAUUUCCACUAUUUUUCUCCUCUGAGAGUUUAUCC